rnacentral:rRNA from 1 species
GCAUAUCAAUAAGCGGAGGAAAAGAAACCAACAGGGAUUGCCUCAGUAACGGCGAGUGAAGCGGCAAGAGCUCAAAUUUGAAAGCUGGCUCCUUCGGGGUCCGCAUUGUAAUUUGCAGAGGAUGCUUCGGGAGCGGCCCCCAUCUAAGUGCCCUGGAACGGGCCGUCAUAGAGGGUGAGAAUCCCGUAUGGGAUGGGGUGCCCGCGACCAUGUGAAGCUCCUUCGACGAGUCGAGUUGUUUGGGAAUGCAGCUCUAAAUGGGUGGUAAAUUUCAUCUAAAGCUAAAUAUUGGCCGGAGACCGAUAGCGCACAAGUAGAGUGAUCGAAAGAUGAAAAGCACUUUGAAAAGAGAGUUAAAAAGCACGUGAAAUUGUUGAAAGGGAAGCGCUUGCGACCAGACUCGCCCGCGGGGUUCAGCCGGUAUUCGUACCGGUGUACUUCCCCGUGGGCGGGCCAGCGUCGGUUUGGGCGGCCGGUCAAAGGCCCUCGGAAUGUAACGCCUCUCGGGGCGUCUUAUAGCCGAGGGUGCCAUGCGGCCAGCCCGGACCGAGGAACGCGCUUCGGCACGGACGCUGGCAUAAUGGUCGUAAGCGACCCGUCUUGAAACACGGACCAAGGAGUCUAACAUCUACGCGAGUGUUCGGGUGUCAAACCCGUGCGCGCAGUGAAAGCGAACGGAGGUGGGAACCCUUUGGGUGCACCAUCGACCGAUCCUGAUGUCUUCGGAUGGAUUUGAGUAAGAGCGUAGCUGUUGGGACCCGAAAGAUGGUGAACUAUGCCUGAAUAGGGCGAAGCCAGAGGAAACUCUGGUGGAGGCUCGCAGCGGUUCUGACGUGCAAAUCGAUCGUCAAAUUUGGGUAUAGGGGCGAAAGACUAAUCGAACCAUCUAGUAGCUGGUUUCCUGCCGAAG